UACGUAGGGGGCAAGCGUUGUCCGGAUUCAUUGGGCGUAAAGGGUGCGUAGGCGGCGCGGUAAGUCGGGUGUGAAAUCUUGGAGCUUAACUCCGAAACUGCAUUCGAUACUGCCGUGCUUGAGGACUGGAGAGGAGACUGGAAUUUACGAUGUAGCGGUGAAAUGUGUAGAUAUCGUAAGGAAGACCAGUGGCGAAGGCGGGUCUCUGGACAGUUCCUGACGCUGAGGCACGAAGGCCAGGGGAGCAAACGGG
rnacentral:rRNA from 1 species